GCCUCAGCCACUCACUAGUCAGUUAGUCAACCACAGCCCGGGGAGGACAGGCAGCUGCCCUGGGGCUGCUGCGGCGGGGGACAGUCUCCCCAGCUACAACGGACGGAAGGCACGGCGCACAAGCCGAGCAGCAGCCAAUGGGAAGACUGUUGCUACAGCUCCAACGUUAACCCUAAAAAGCGCAGAGCACAUGUGAAUCACAAAAGCUGCACGACGAACCACAGUGGCUGAUGUCAUGUUGCACCAAACCAAAGUAGUGAUUCAACCACAACACGUGUUACUGCCAUGAGGGAGUUCCUGUUGAAGGGCUGUGGCUCACACCACCUCCACCUGGCUGUUCAC